rnacentral:sRNA from 1 species
AAAAUCUGAAAAAAAAAAACAGAAAAAAAAC